rnacentral:lncRNA from 1 species
CAACAGGUUCAUAAAAACUUCUCUUUGCCUCACUUCUUUCAUUGCUCCUUUUCCCAGGCUACUUACCAAAUGGAAAGGACAAGCAACUUAAGGAAUUCAAAGCUCCAACAAUCCAAUAAGAAAACUGCAUCUCUGUGCAUGUGCUGAAGCAGCAGGGGUGAACAGGGCAUAGUGGUUAACCUUAACUCUGCGUUCUGGAUCACAGUUAGCAAUUCCUUUGACGUUCUGUUCCAUAAGUGAAGGUGAAGGGAAGAAAUUCAGUGCCUUCCCUCUGUCUGACUCAUCAUGGUGGAGAAGUUCUGACAUCAGAGUCCAGCCCCCCGGAAACAAAGCGCUGCGGCAGAUGCAGUUUGCCUUUAAAAGUGAGUCAGGUGGGUGUAGGAGGCAUGUGAUUGUUAAAAUAUAAUAAGCAAGCCACUCCCAAUUAGUAGGUAGCCCACUCUGUAGUCAGCUGUGAUAGGAGCAGAGAAACAGGAAACUUGAUGUCAGAGAGAUGAUGCAGCAGGAGUGUUUUUUUCUACCUGGGUACGUAAAGAGCUAAUUAAACUCAAAGUUCGUCUUCUGUUGUAUUAUCAUAUGAAUGAGAUGUAAAGAGAAAAUUAUGAGGAUGAGCUGACUACACAAUAAGAACUACUUCAGCUGUUCAUCUACACUGACAGACGUUCAGGGAAGGGUGAAGGUGAAGAGAGAAGAUCGUGACAAAUCCUCCAGUUAUUUCUAGUUCUGUCCUAAGUGACGUGUAGUGAUAGACCAAGGGGGAAUGGCUUUAAACUAAA